rnacentral:rRNA from 1 species
GCCUACGGGGGGCUGCAGUGGGGAAUAUUGGACAAUGGGGGAAACCCUGAUCCAGCAAUGCCGCGUGAGUGAUGAAGGCCUUAGGGUUGUAAAGCUCUUUUACCCGGGAUGAUAAUGACAGUACCGGGAGAAUAAGCUCCGGCUAACUCCGUGCCAGCAGCCGCGGUAAUACGGAGGGAGCUAGCGUUGUUCGGAAUUACUGGGCGUAAAGCGCGCGUAGGCGGCUAUUCAAGUCAGGGGUGAAAUCCCGGGGCUCAACCCCGGAACUGCCUUUGAAACUGGAUAGCUAGAAUCCUGGAGAGGCGAGUGGAAUUCCGAGUGUAGAGGUGAAAUUCGUAGAUAUUCGGAAGAACACCAGUGGCGAAGGCGACUCGCUGGACAGGUAUUGACGCUGAGGUGCGAAAGCGUGGGGAGCAAACAGGAUUAGAUACCCCAGUAGUC